rnacentral:RNase_P_RNA from 1 species
CGAGCGCGCCGAGCGAUCGCGGACUCAGAUGCGUCUGAGUUUGAGGAAAGUCCGGGCUCCAUCGGGCACGGGUGCCAGCUAACGGCUGGUCGGGGUGACUCGAAGGAAAGUGCCACAGAAACAAACCGCCGCUUUUAGCCAAGGCUCUAGGGCUGGUACGGCUUGGGGCGGUAAGGGUGAAAUGGUGCGGUAAGAGCGCACCGGCGGCACCGAAAGGCGCCGGCCGGGCAAACCCCACCUGGAGCAAGACGGUUGGGAAUCGCCUCUUUGGAGGCGCGGGCUGCCCGCCCGAUCCCACGAGACGUCGCAUCAGGCGUUCGGCGACGGACGCCGCAGAUAGAUGAUCGCUGCCGCCGGUUUGCCGGCGGAACAGAACCCGGCUUACAGGCGCGCCUCGGCAU